UUAGCCCUACGGGACGCAGCAGUGGGGAAUAUUGCACAAUGGGGGAAACCCUGAUGCAGCGACGCCGCGUGAAGGAAGAAGUAUUUCGGUAUGUAAACUUCUAUCAGCAGGGAAGAAAAUGACGGUACCUGACUAAGAAGCCCCGGCUAACUACGUGCCAGCAGCCGCGGUAAUACGUAGGGGGCAAGCGUUAUCCGGAUUUACUGGGUGUAAAGGGAGCGUAGACGGUUCUGCAAGCUAGAUGUGAAAGCCCGGGGCUCAACCCCGGGACUGCAUUUGGAACUGUAAGGCUAGAGUGUCGGAGG
rnacentral:rRNA from 1 species